ACGAAAUAGUGAAGAAAGUUGGAGAAGCUUGUGAGAGAUGGGGUUUCUUUCAAGUUAUCAACCAUGGGAUUCCGCUGACGACUUUAGAUGAAAUGAUUGACGGAAUUCGAAGGUUUCAUGAACAAGAUAAGGAAGCUAAGAAAGAGUUUUAUUCUCGAGAUAACAGCAGGAAAGUGAUUUAUAAUAGUAAUUUCGAUCUUUAUGUGGCGGAAGCAGCCAAUUGGAGGGAUACUUUGAGGUGUGUUACAGAGAUCUUUGCUACGCAAUCAUAUCUGACGCUAACUCAAUCUGCAGAGAUAUAAUGAUAGAGUAUUCGAAUAGAGUGAUGAAAUUAGGAC
rnacentral:lncRNA from 1 species